rnacentral:rRNA from 1 species
CGCGGCCUAUCAGCUUGUUGGUGAGGUAACGGCUCACCAAGGCAAUGACGGGUAGCUGGUCUGAGAGGACGAUCAGCCACACUGGGACUGAGACACGGCCCAGACUCCUACGGGAGGCAGCAGCAGGGAAUAUUGCGCAAUGGGCGAAAGCCUGACGCAGCGACGCCGCGUGCGGGAUGAAGGCCUUCGGGUCGUAAACCGCUUUCAGUGGGGAAGAAGCGAAAGUGACGGUACCCACAGAAGAAGCCCCGGCCAACUACGUGCCAGCAGCCGCGGUAAUACGUAGGGGGCAAGCGUUGUCCGGAUUUAUUGGGCGUAAAGGGCUCGUAGGCGGCUUGGCAAGUCGGUCGUGAAAUUCCGGGGCUCAACCCCGGAACGCCGAUCGAAACUGCCAUGGCUUGGGUCCGGUAGAGGAGUGUGGAAUUCCCGGUGUAGCGGUGAAAUGCGCAGAUAUCGGGAGGAACACCACUAGCGAAGGCAGCACUCUGGGCCGGUACCGACGCUGAGGAGCGAAAGCGUGGGGAGCGAACAGGAUUAGAUACCCUGGUAGUCCACGCCGUAAACGAUGGGCACUAGGUGUGGCGGAUCGAUUAACGUCCGCCGUACCGUAGCUAACGCAUUAAGUGCCCCGCCUGGGGAGUACGGA